UUUAUGACACUAUACUAUUGAAAGUAAAAAUAAAAUCCUAUUUCUGGCCAUAGACCUUUGUAUACCAGCAAUCAUAAAAAUAUCAUAUGGUAUUUUUAUAAUUAUUGAAAGCAAGAUUUGAACCUGUGUGACAGAGGUUUGAACUCAAAGUAAAGUGACAGGCUGAAGUGCUGCUGAAUCUUCUCACCUCAGUGGGGGAGGGGCCCCAGGAGGUCUGGAAUUUGGAGAAGCCAGAAGGUUCUGACUGAGAGGCAGUUAUCUCUCUCAAUCUUUAGAAGCCUAGGAGGAAGGGAGGUCUGGUCAAAACUUUCUCCUGAGGAGAUAUUCACCUUUUUCCUCUCCUGGAGACAGGACAUCCUCCCCCUCCACCAAUUCCCAACUGAAGUGAUAGCUGAAGAAGACAUUGAGCCUCUGUUAAACUUACCUCACAGCUCCUGGUGCCUUGGAUCUGAACUGUGCCAGUUGGGUCAAGACCAGGGCAAGAUCUCAAGUUUUAGGAUAUCUAUCAUGUUCUGCAAACAUAAAUGGAUCAGGUAUGGAAGCAGACAUCUGAUCAAGAGACCUUUAAAGUGACACAGCAACUUCCUUGUUAAUUACUGCAUGAUUUUAUAUUGGACUCAGAUGGGACUAUAUUGAGAUUUAAGAAGAUAAUAGCUCUACUUCCUAUAGGAACUUCAGAAACAUCAUCAUUUUAGCUAAGGAACCCAAGGUCACUAAAUUAUCUGGCAAAUUACAUGGAUAGCAAAUCUCAGAGGCAAGAACAGAAUUCAGGAACCAGGCAUGAAAUUCCCAAUGCAUUGCAUAAACUCUAAAAUUGUCAAAUGGUAAUCCAGCCCAAAUAUUCAACAAUAAAAAAUAAAGGUACUUCA
rnacentral:lncRNA from 1 species